rnacentral:sRNA from 1 species
UGGAUUAAGCAAUGAACGGUAAUUAACAUUGUGGACCCAUUCAAGGCUGUUUUGCCAUCAUUUUUUGGAAUACCUUAAAAAGACUAAACUUUGUGAUAGGCUGUAUAAGAAUGCAAAGGUAAGGAAAUGCAGAUGGGAGUGUAAGUGAAAACAUGCAGUACUGACCUUCCUGAUUGCUCAUUACAGGAGACCAAGACACAUUCCACCCCAGUGGGGGGUCCCAUACCACUCAUGGAUCUGAAUCAGAUGGACACUCACAUGGGAGUCAAGAAGGUGGAGCAAACACAACCUCUGGUCCUAUAAGGACACCCCAAAUUCCAGAAUGGCUGAUCAUCUUGGCAUCCCUCUUGGCCUUGGCUUUGAUUCUUGCAGUUUGCAUUGCAGUCAACAGUCGAAGAAGGUGUGGGCAGAAGAAAAAGCUAGUGAUCAACAGUGGCAAUGGAGCUGUGGAGGACAGAAAGCCAAGUGGACUCAACGGAGAGGCCAGCAAGUCUCAGGAAAUGGUGCAUUUGGUGAACAAGGAGUCGUCAGAAACUCCGGACCAGUUUAUGACAGCUGAUGAGACAAGGAACCUGCAGAAUGUGGACAUGAAGAUUGGGGUGUAACACCUACACCAUUAUCUUGGAAAGAAACAACCGUUGGAAACAUAACCAUUACAGGGAGCUGGGACACUUAACAGAUGCAAUGUGCUACUGAUUGUUUCAUUGCGAAUCUUUUU